rnacentral:snRNA from 1 species
AGAUGUGAGGGUGAUCUGGCUGCGACAUCUGUCACCCCAUUGAUCGCCAGGGUUGAUUCGGCUGAUCUGGCUGGCUAGGUGGGUGUCCCCUUCCUCCCUCACCGCUCCAUAUGCGUCCCGACGCUGCGUGCUCGGUCAAAGAGGACGGCCUUCCCCGAAUAGAGACAGACCAGUCUUUUGUCGAGGGUAUAGGAGUAGCUGCGCUCCCCUGCUAGAACCUCCAAACAAGCUCUCAAGAAUCUGGGUUCAAGCCCCUGCUUCCCACCUGCAGGGGGGAUGCUUCACAAGUGGCAAGGCAGGUCUGC